rnacentral:rRNA from 1 species
GAUGAACGCUGACAGAAUGCUUAACACAUGCAAGUCUACUUGAACUUCGGUUUGGGUGGCGGACGGGUGAGUCACGCGUAAAGAACUUGCCUCACAGUUAGGGACAACAUUUGGAAACGAAUGCUAAUACCUGAUAUUAUGAUUUUAGGGCAUCCUAGGAUUAUGAAAGCUAUAUGUGCUGUGAGAGAGCUUUGCGUCCCAUUAGCUAGUUGGAGAGGUAACGGCUCACCAAGGCGAUGAUGGGUAGCCGGCCUGAGAGGGUGAACGGCCACAAGGGGACUGAGACACGGCCCUUACUCCUACGGGAGGCAGCAGUGGGGAAUAUUGGACAAUGGACCAAUAGUCUGAUCCAGCAAUUCUGUGUGCACGAUGACGUUUUUCGGAAUGUAAAGUGCUUUCAGUUGGGAAGAAAAAAAUGACGGUACCAACAGAAGAAGUGACGGCUAAAUACGU